GUGUAGCUCAACCGGCAGAGCAAGGCACUAACACCGCCGGGGUUAGGGGUUCGAUUCCCAGUGCGCGUUGUUCCUUCCA